AGAAUCAACGCUGGCGGCGUGCCUAACACAUGCAAGUCGAACGAGAAAGUGGAGCAAUCCAUGAGUAAAGUGGCGCACGGGUGAGUAACACGUGACUAACCUACCUUUUAGUGGGGGAUAACCUAGGGAAACCUGGGCUAAUACCGCAUAAUACCUACGGGUCAAAGCAGCAAUGCGCUGGAAGAGGGGGUCGCGGCCGAUUAGCUAGUUGGCGGGGUAAUGGCCCACCAAGGCAGUGAUCGGUAUCCGGCCUGAGAGGGCGCACGGACACACUGGAACUGAAACACGGUCCAGACUCCUACGGGAGGCAGCAGUGGGAAUUUUGCGCAAUGGGGGAAACCCUGACGCAGCAACGCCGCGUGGAGGAUGAAGACCCUUGGGUCGUAAACUCCUUUCGAUCGGGACGAUAAUGACGGUACCGGAAGAAGAAGCCCGGCUAACUUCGCGCCAGCAGCCGC
rnacentral:rRNA from 1 species